rnacentral:rRNA from 1 species
AUGUUUCCUUCUCAUCUCCGACGGUGCACAGAGCAUCCACAUGACAAGACCAAGGCGGUGAUCAAGAGCACCCUUCUACCACAACUCAUCCCGCGCCGCACGAUGUCCUCCUCCUCCGGUCGCGCCGCCUCUCAACCAGCCGACAAGUUUUGGCUUGAGAUAGUGGGUCACAGGAUGAAAGGUCCGCAGAAUCCGUGCCCGAUGAUUUUCAGAAAGCGAAUCAGUGGUGUGGAUGCCGACAAGGCUGAAGCAGUCUUCCUCGACGUGAUGAUGAUGGCUAAAUAUGAUGGGAAUGUUCCACCAAAUAUGAUGAGUAGUCCCGUUCGAGCAUUGCUCCGGAAGGCGCUUAUCCGAUACAUGAAAAUUAAGUGGUUUAUUAAAGAAAUUGCUCUAUCUCUCAAGAUACGUGUCGUCUUUAAGCUGGGCAAGUUAAACUUUGUUGUCAUCUGCGUGUUGCUUUACGUGACAUACGGGAGGCCCCUAUCUCUGCUCCGGAGGUUCUGGAAGAUCCUAAAUUCUCAAGGAGGCGAUGACUCGGAGUAA